GCCCGGGUGGCUCAGUCGGUUGAGUGUCUGACUUCAACUCAGGUCAUGAUCUCGCAAUCUGUGAGUUCAAGCCCCACGUCGGGCU
rnacentral:tRNA from 1 species